CACCACCACGGGAGUGACACAUCAGGUGUCACUGUCGGGUGCUGCAAGCCUUUUGCUUAGUGCUGUCCUGCACCCUUGGCUGAACACACGCGCACAGGCGUGACACGCUUGGUGCCUAGAGCUCGAGUUCCUUGGCUGGAUUGCUAGAGCUCAGACAAGGAUCUUCGGCAGCUGCUGAUGAGAGGCUAAGUUUGCAGAGAGUUGGAAGAUGCUGCUUCCUGGGGAGCUGUCAGUCAGCUGUGAUUGCAAACUCCUGUCUGCAAUACAGAGGUGAAGAUGAAGCAAUGGAUGACUUUUGACUACUUUCUUCRUCGAGGGACGGCACAUUUUGUCCAUGACUUAUCAUCUGCCACAUCAUUUUAUCAUGUGCUCACCUUACUCUCUAUCCAACAUCAGAGUUUCAAGUAUUCUGGCAAAAUACAUUUAAUAAUUAAACAUAUUUUCCUCUUUAAUAAUUCAAUGAGAAUUAUCUGUAGUAAUAAUGGAUUUUCUACUGUGUCUAAAUGGUAUUGUUCACUUUUGAUUAAAUAAUCCUCAGGAUAACAAAGGAUGAGCUGUUGCACCAGGGGUUCAUUUAACAUCAUCAUUCACAUUUACUUUAAAAUCAAGGGUAGUAUUCACAAGGCCAGUGUCUCUAAGGACACUUUGAUACACAUAAUUCUGUGUCAUUUACAUUGGUGAAGAAAACAAAGAAGGCAACACAACAUAUUUUUUGGCCACAUGACCUCAUGUACUAGGAUGAGAAAAAUAUGUGAAGUCCUUGUCAAACCCUCCAAAACCUUGGCCUUUUCAGUCAUGAUCUCUUUACCUCUGUCAACCUAUGAGGGGCAAAUGGGAAUGGACCAUGGGAWGAGUGUGAGAAGCCAGGACCACGCAAUUUUCAUGUCACGCUGUGCCUUGGGCAGAAGCUCCCAGUCAUCUGACCCUGUCCUCAGCAUCUGUUUCCCUGAAUUGCAAAUAGUUCCAUUACCAUCAUGCUGUUUUGUGUCCUGCAAAUGCAAAUUUGCCCUAUGACAGAACGAGUCCCAUGUCUGAUGGAGAAGAUUUCGCCAUCCUGCAUUGUGUGUGUGCAGGUCCUACGUAAGCCUAAGAAAAACCUUCUGAUGUGUACUACUGAUUGUUUACAUAUGUUAUCAGUGGGGAAAAAAAAACAGGAAAGGAAAGCUGGCAGCUUACACUGCCAAGAGAUCUGGCAGUGGCUAGAAUCACAUUUAGAUAAUUUCCAGUCACUAGGCUUUGUUUUCAUUUUUUAAAAAACCCUUCCUAGAAAGUUGCUGCCCUGUUCUUUUUACUCUGCUACAAUCAGUAUAGAGGAAUACCUGCAAUGGGCUCCUGUCCUUACAACCAAAGCAGGCAACAUCAGGAGAUGUUUCCAGAGAGAAAGUGGAAGGUGUGGUAAGAUACUGUGCUUUAUACAAGUUCAAAAUAUGCAACACUGCUUGGAGCUGUGAUUAUGGUUCUGUGUGACAAAAGUUUUUUAAUGAUAGUGAAGUCAGGGACUYGUGAUUCAAAUUCAAAUUGGUGCCAAAGGAAGAUAAAGUUUGGAACGUGGGCAUAUUUCACAUCUUCAGGUCAGGCUCUUGAUGGGUCAAAAAAACAUGGGCACUGGAGGACUGGGGCUCCAGCUGCCUGUAUUUAGGAAUURCCUGUAGCAGAGAGAAUGGUUCCUCGGCCAGCUAAGCCAGAAGAGCUCAUGGCUUCUCUGAAACAAAAUACUAGAGAGAAUAGAUACCAAAGCAAUUUAAUUAGAGUCCAGCUAAGUUUGUGUGUUUAAAUCUGACUUCUAUCAACUAUUCUGUACCCAUUCACCUAUACAUGUGAAUAUGGAUAUAUACUAGAAAUUUUUGCUAGGGUGAAAUAAAAUUUGCAAACUUACAUCAGCAUCUCAAGUAGUAUAAUUCCAGCUAGUCCAGGCCCAAGCCUUGGGAGUCCUUUACUAUUAAUACAAAACUGUUCUCAUAGGGUUAAGCAUUUGGGGA